UGUGACUGGAGGGUUCUGGGGACAUCAUUGUAGUUCUUGGAAAGCGGCUGGGUGGAAAACUGGUAGAUCAUGGGGAUAUAAUCCCUUGAUAGAGUUGACAAAGAUGGGAAACCCCUACUCUCUAGAAUGACCUUAAGUAAAAAUAUUGGGUCAACCCCAAUCAAACUCACCUUAAACAUAGAGCACCCCAGUCCAGGGGAUGCAGGGGAAUAUGUAAUGGGUAUGUACUGGAAGGGCGGUGACUCAUAUAACAAGUUGGGGACAUUCUUCCUACAAGACAUGCUCACCUCACCUGAUUGGGUAGGUACGACUCACAUGACUGUCAACCAACUUAAACCUCACAUUAAGACUUUAUAUGAUAUGGUUGCUAUUGCCAAUCCCACCUUUGAAGACACUAUGGCAGUAGAAACUGGGCUCUCAGACACCAACCUAUGGCUGGAAUGGAUGAGAUAUAAUGCUAACUCACACAAUAAGACUAACUGUUAUGUAUGGGGGGGAGCUAGGCCCCACCUGGGCACGGUGCCUUUAAACCUACCUCCCAAUGUUGAAUUAUGUGUCCUGAGUCUUUAUGCACAAUCUACCACUAACUCCUCAACAUGUGAAUCAUGGAAAAAGGUCUACCCAAUCACCCAGGGACACGUUAGACCACCUGAUGGAGUCACGGUAUACCCAGGUAACUACGCUUGCUAUUCAAUACCUAAGAACACAGGUACAUUUAUGGGCAAAUUCCCAUCUGGUUAUUGCUCUACCUAUCAUAAUCCACCCACGACACUGUUAACGAACUAUGCAAAAACAGUUGGGAAUAUUUAUUGGCUGUGUGGUGAUAAGCAACUGAGAUCCCAACUUACGGGACUAUGGUGGGGAGAAUGCACACUAACUAAGGCCAUAAUGCCCAUCCAUAUUAUCCCGGAUGGCCAUCACAAUGCGUUUGAUCCCACACACACACACUCCAGAGUCAAUCCGUGGUAGCUUUGAUCCACAUGUUUAUAUUGUUGCCAUUGGUGUGCCAAGGGGGGUACCCAACAAAUUUAAAGCUAGGGAUGAGGUUGCCGCUGGCUUUGAGUCCCUGCUUCCAUUAAUCACUGUCAAUAAGAAUGUUAAUUGGAUUAAUUAUAUCUAUUACAUCCAACAGCGGUUUGUUAACUAUACUAGAGAUGCCCUACAGGGACUAGCAGAACAGCUGCAAGCUACCACCCAAAUGACAUUUCAAAACAGAAUGGCUCUGAAUAUGAUUCUAGCAAAAAAGGGGGGCGUAUGUAAAAUCCUCCCCGAGACCAUGACAUGCUGUACAUUCAUUCCAUAUAAUACUGGGCCAAAUGGUAAAGUAACUAUGGCAAUAGAGAAAUUAGACAGCCUCUCAGAUGAAUUACAGAAGAAUUCAGGGAUCACUAAUGUAUGGGACAGAUGGUUUGGACGGAUGAAUGGUUGACAGAGAACCCUAUUCCAAGUUGGGACAGCAGUCCUCACAAUGAUCAUCAUCUUCCUGUUGCUAACUUGUUGUGUACUACCUUGCAUACAAAAGUAUUUACAGAAGACAGUAGGGAACACUAUAGACAACAUAACCCCUACUUUACUACACUAAGACGUCACUGACCUAGAAUGUGACACACCACAUACACCCCUCCAAUCCCACCAAUUCAGACAGACAACUGCAUUUUCAUAGGGAUAGCAUUGGGAAAGCGUCUGUCUCUACAGGCGAGUCUCACGUGCGGAGAUGUGGUGGACUAGCCGCUGCCGGUUACCCACUUCAGUGUUUGAUGCUUGUUAAGGCAGAUGAGCCGCAGGCAGCUAGGGACAUAUUAGGGACAGUAGCAGUUGUUAUGGUAAAUAGUCAUUUUAAGGGGGGACUGUUGUGGAAAUGAGAUAUUAACAUAAUUUUAGCUACUAAAAUGUCUAUUUACUCCAUUUAGUUAUACUCAAUAUUAUUCAAUAAAUUACUAAACUGACCACUAGAUGCCACUCGGGAGUACCCCACCCAUCGACCAAACACUCUAAUUUUCAAGAUGGCGCAUGACGACAGUAAUGACAUAAGAUGGCACACCCAGUAGGACGUGCUUUGAAUAAAACACUUAACACUUAACCAAUUAUUGAUGUAUUAUUUCAUGUUAUCUCUGACAGUGCUUAUGAUAUAAUUGUGCUUUAUAAGGGACAUGUCGUCCCCCCUGAAUAAACAUUCC